CCCCGUGUUGGGAGUAGACAUUACUUAAAAAAAUAAGAUCUUAAAAAUAAAUAAACAAACAAACAAGGCACAGCUUCACCUUUUGUUCCUGCAGUGUUCACAUACGUUUGGUACAUUAACUAAAGUCAGAGGAUCAUGAAAACUGGUCUCUCUAGAGAAGCCACAUGAAGAUAAUGGACAUGUGAUCGUAUCGGUCCCUUCAGCUGACCUGUCAUCAGUUUCUUGGUCUCCCAGCUGCCCGCCCCAGGGCCCGGCCUGCGGCUUUGUUUCAACAGACGUGGCCCGAAGCACAAAGUGCCCUUUUUCCUGCUAAGGGGGCCCCUCCAGGAGGUGAUGUGAACAUGGUGUGCACCUGGUGCCCCUGACACGUUGAAAGGAAGUACCAGUUUCCUUAAUAAGAACAAACUCCAGGCAGGACCACGUGGGUUAGCCCCGGAAAGAGAAUUGCCACUUGGGCAGGGGCAACGGGGCUGCACGAUCCCUCCUCUGUCCACAGGAAUCACCUGCAUGCACCUUCCCCUUGAAAGGUUGUCACAAGGGGGCCUUGGAGACACUGGUCAUCCCUUCACACUCUGGCCUAGGAGGUGGCACACUGUCCGUCUGCAGAACUGAAUCCGAACCAGGUGUUCAGACAGCCUUCAGGGGAGGCUCCAGGGUACCAAGGGGACGUGCACACUGAGUGACCGGUGCCAUCUUCUCUCCUUGUUCCACGUGGAGAGGCCAUCUUUCACCCCCUAUCUGGGGAUGCACCGUGGCUUGCAAGCUGGGGCCCAGGAGAACCAGGCCCGAGAGACGAACCCUUUCUGGUCUGCCCAAGGCCAGUCUUCUGAGCUCUGGUUUCCAAUAAAUACUUGUCCUUUCCCUGGUGGCUGCAACUGAUCACUUUUCCUCAUCAGGAAGCCUGCGCUCCCCACCUAUGGACAUGACCUGGCUUCCCAGUCAGGCCGCAGGAGAACUGAGAGAAAGCACCCGUCACUCAACAGCAUGUUAAUUAUCCACCUACACUUUGGUUAUUAAAGUACUAAAUUGCUCACCGGGCCCCAAGAGUCUUUUGGUUGAAAAUUUCAUGCCAUUUAUCCAUCCUGAGAGGGAAGGGGGGCUUUCUAUGAGUGCCAAAUGCUCAACACAUUGUAUGCCAGUCAUCCCCUGCCAAAUCCUGGGAGGAAGGUACUAGUCUAUUCCUACUUUACAGCUGAGCAAACUGAGUCUCGGAGAGGAUACUUUCCCCAAAGUCACACAGACUUUAAUGUGGUGGAUCAAGGGCUUGAACGUGGAACCUAUGGCCUUUCACCUCUUGAGUGUGCGGGUCGUUUAAGAAAGGCCACCCUGGUUGUAGGGAGAGCAGGUGGAGAGGGGGUAGAGGGACCAUAUUGUAAGAAAACUCAUGAUACAUAGUCAGACAAUGGAACGGAACAGUUGAAACGGGGACUGCCCUAGAUAACCGGUAAGAUCUUGCCAAGAAAGGAAGUCAGGAGCUAACUAUAGAGCAUGGCCAUGACUGUCAGAACUCGGCUGGUCUCCGGACUCCGUCACUUCUCCCUGUUGGUGAUUUUCCAUUCUCCCACUGUUCCCCUGCAGGACUAGCUUUUAAACCCUGAAACCGAAAGAGACAGCCAGGAAGCUAGCAGCCAAGGAGUCUUUGUCCAGUUCUGCAGCUAAUUUUGGAGGAGAAAGAAACCCUACAAUAUGGUGUUUGUGUGGGUAGUUUCGAGAAAUGUAAAAAUAAAGGGAGCGGGCGCUGAAUCCUGGGUAGCCGAGAAGGAGGAAGACGGGAGCUUGCAGGAGAUGGCCUGGGAUGGAGACUACCUACCUUUUCUUUCUGGAAUAGUUACUGAGCCCCCAUGAGGUGCCAGGUCCAGGGCUAAGCUGGGUGGGGUGUGGAGUGGGGUUUAGUUUGGAUGGUCGGAGAGUCGUCUCGGGGGAGGUGGCCUUAAACUGGAAUCUGAGGGAUGAGAGGGGAGUUGGCCAUGUCCAGAAGCAGGGAGAAUGAUCUAGAUAGAGAACACCAUAUGCAAGGUCCCAGGGGUGAGGAAAAAAAAAAAAAAAGAGAGAGAAAAUGGUGAUGAGAGAGAAGGGUCUGGUCAGGGGCCCUUGUAAACCAUGAAGGGGUUUGGCCCUCAGUGUUGUCAGAUGCCAUUGAACGUUUAAGCAGGGGGUACGCCACAGGACUUGUGUUUUGAAAAGUCACUCUUGCUGUCUGCCGAGACCAGCUUUGGAGGGGGACUGGAAUGGAAGAAGUGAGAGCGUGAACAGCCAUCAGAGAGGUCCAGGCAAGACGUGUGUCAACCUGGACCAGGCUGGGGGGGGGGGGUACAUGGGGAGAAGAGGGCCGACUCUGGACAUUUAUUGGAGGGGAAAAUCAACCUUACUGAGGAGGUGAAUGUAAGAGCUGAGGGAAAAGGAAGAAGCAGGAAUCACCUUGGGGUUCCACCUCAGCCACGUGGAGAGGCGCUGGGUAAUUUUCUAAAGUGAGGCACCCUUGAGGUGCAGACAGGUUUUAUAAUAAGGGACUCUAUUUCGGGCAAAGAUGAGCUGUUUACACCUCAUCGGAGUGGAGAGAGCAAGUAGGCCGGUGGAUGUACGCAUCUGGAGCUCAGAGGGGAGGUCUGGGCUGGAGAUACGCAAGUGUGGGAACCGUUAGCAUAACCAUGCUAUUUAAAGCCCUGGAAAUGGAAGAGAUGAUCUAAGGAGAGAAGGGCAGAAAGCCCUGGGCAAGCCCUGAGGCAUGCAGAUGGGUAGAGAUCCCGCAGAGGUGGAAUAGACCCAGAAGAUGUAGGGGGCAACCACCCCAUUCACCCAGUUAGCAAACCCACAGGGGGUGGCCUGGGGCAUGUGCAGCAGAGGCUGGGGACGCCAAGGCAUCAGGACAAGGCCCUUGCCCUCAAGGGGCUCGCAGGAGCAGCCUUAAGAGCCAAUAUUUACAUUACAGUGUGGUAUAGUAUUUAUAGAGAUGGGCCCAGAAGAAGGCACUGGAAGAGCCCUCUGUAGUCUCAGGUGCCAGAAACAGGCAUGGCUGAGUCUAUGGAAGGGGCCGUGGACCUCAGGAAGGUGGAGAGAAAGGAUGCAGGGGCUGAGAACUCUUUGGGGUCUGGCGUCCUUCCUUGAGACUCCCUAAAUCCCCUGGACCCACCGGCCUCUUCCUUCCAGAGCCCCCACAGGCCAUGAGCGACGCUGGGGAGCCCUGCUCCUUCCUCAUUUCCACCCCACCUCCAGCCCUCUAGGUCCCCUCCUCUGUCCUGACGGGCUCGCUCCCUUAGGAAGAGAACUGUGUUCUGAAACAGGAUUAGCUGGACAGCAGAACGGCCGGAGCCUGGAGCCUUGCCCCCCAUUAUAGCGGGAUAUCGUCCCCAAAACUGCUGCAAUGAAGCAGCAGGAAAUGAAUCCUGCUGUUGAGAAAUCAUGCGUGUUGACCAGCUUGUAUUUCACACUGCUUGAGGAAAAGAGAAAUCUGUCUCACUGAGCUUUUCAGAGAGAAACGAGGUCAGUAACCACCCCCCGCCCCCCGUCACUGCAGGCCAGAGCCCUCCACCAACAAACCCCCACUCCUGGCAGCUGCUGAAUGCCACGGACUGGGCGCCUCUUGGGCACUGGGCUGCCUGGCUCACGGUGCCCGCGUGACUCACUCUCCUGUGGUUAUGUUGAGUCCACAAACCCGCAUAGCCUGGCUCCAACCUCUCCCUCCAUCCUCACCUCGCACUGCCUCCUUCCUGUGCCCCGUACCCGGUCCAGUCUGGACAAGCCCUGGGGAUCCUGGCUGUCAACCCUUGCCUGGUUAAUACUCUGCCUUGGAGACUGAGGAGGCUCUGAACCUGCCUUCAGGCUCAGUCUCUGUGUUGGUGCCUCUAUUUGUUAAAGCUCUCACUGCUCCGUCGUUCAGAGAGAUUUCUUCUUCCUUUGAACAUGUUUAGUGUGUUCCUAUUUCAUCGCUUAUGGCUCAUUUAAUCUUUAAUUAUAAUGCUUUGUGGGCAUGCUUUAUCUCCCCUCAUGGACUCUGUAAACUACAGAAGAUCAAGCCUCGUGUCUGGGGUCAAGUCUCAUUUAUCUCCAUCCACAGCUUCGGCAAAGAGCUUGGGCAUGCUUGUGGAGUGGAUGAGGUUUAGUUAAAGUUGCAGAGGGGAUGUGUGCUGAUGUGGGAAAUACAGUCUGGGGCUUGAUGUAAUUGGCUCCCUGGGAAAACGCACCUCUGCUAAGAGAAUCUAUGAAGGGAUAGAGAGUAGUUUGUCCACCCAUCCGCCCAUCCAUCCACCCAUCCAUCCAUUCAACAAAUACUUAUUAAGCAUUUAUGACAGAAGUAAUGUUAGAUACUGGAGAUCUAGUCCUAAGUCUGCAUCAGUUCUUGCUCACGCAGAGAUUCUGUCCUAGCCCAGGGACAUAGAUAAUAAAGAAAACAUCACGUAGUGGUAAGUGUCACUGAUAAAAAUAAGUCAGAGUGAUGUGCUCAUGUGACUGUCAAGUGGUUGGGGAGGGGGUCUCUGAAGAAGCGACGCUAAGGAGAGACCUGAAGUGGGGUUGAGGUGGCAGGGGGAGGUGUGGGCAUGAGCUGUCCCAGAGAGGGGAACAGAUGGGACAAAGCUUUGAGGUCGGGGAAGGUGGGGACCGAGAUGGGAUGAGUUUAAUGGGUACCAGGAACAGAAGGAAAGCAAGAGUGGCCGGAUCCUGGGGAACAGGAGGUGACGGACACAAGUGACCCACAGUUCAGUAGGGAGAUGGUGGUGACACAGUCAUAUGUGCUGGCAGAGUGCAUACAUACAGCAUGGGCUUCUGGCCAAGGUAUGGAUUUGGUCCUCACUCUAAUUAUUACUGAUGUGUGAACUUGGGCAACUUUUCUGAGUCUUAGCUUCUUCCUUUGUAAAAUAUCUCAUUUGUGGAAUUUUUGUGAAGCAGAUGGUAUAAUGGAAAUAAGCACCCACGCUGUUGACAACAAAUGGUAACCUGAAAUCCAGAAGAAUCUGGCUGUUUUCUCUUUGCACCAAGCUCUGAACACGACAGCAGACAGUGGGAUGAGCAUAAGGAGUGCUCCACGGUGGUAAUUCCGCACUGGACGGGGGCCUGGCCUCGGAGCAGAUUAGGGUUUUUUAACCAGGGGGCCGCGGGCCUCUCGACUCUUAGUGAGUUCAGCUCUCGGCCUGCUCAAGACAAAAUCAGAAAUGCGACGGUUCUGCGACCACUACAGGACAUCGAAUCAGCACUUACAAAUGAGCCUCAAGAAAGCAUGGAGCUGAGAUGGCUUUCCUGGUGACAGCUGCCCUUCAAGGAACAGAGAAGUCCUGGGACACAACUCAUCCGGAGAGUGGAAAGAGGGAAGCUCCCCAACUCGCUUAAUGAGGCCAGCAAAACAUUGAUACCCUAGGUCGGUUUAUUAUUAACCUGGCCGGUAGCAGUGAUGGCAAGGGCAUCCUAGCGUGUGAGAAAGAAAACACGCAGGCCCAUCUUGUUAUUAAUAUAUAAACACAAAAAUGUGAAACACAGUAUUGGCCAGAUCCGGCGAUGCACGGGAAAGAUAACCCAUCAGGGCCGUGUUGGAUUACUCCUAGGAAUGCAAGAUGAAUGUAACAGGGGGAAAACUGAUGAAUGUAAUUUGCUUUAUGAACGGAAUAAAAGCAAAAAUCUAUUGAAAAUAAAAGCUUCCUGAAAAAA